GACGAACGCUGGCGGCGUGCUUAACACAUGCAAGUCGAGCGGAAAGGCCCUUUCGGGGGUACUCGAGCGGCGAACGGGUGAGUAACACGUGAGUAAUCUGCCCUUGGCUUUGGGAUAACUACCGGAAACGGUGGCUAAUACCGGAUAUGACCAUGCUCGGCAUCGGGUGUGGUGGAAAGUUUUUUCGGCCAGGGAUGUGCUCGCGGCCUAUCAGCUUGUUGGUGGGGUAAUGGCCUACCAAGGCUUCGACGGGUAGCCGGCCUGAGAGGGUGACCGGCCACACUGGGACUGAGACACGGCCCAGACUCCUACGGGAGGCAGCAGUGGGGAAUAUUGGACAAUGGGCGGAAGCCUGAUCCAGCAACGCCGCGUGAGGGAUGACGGCCUCGGUGUAACCGUACUUCUAGUACGACGAAGACGCCGACGUGAUGGUGGUGACGGUAGGUACGAGAAGAAGAC
rnacentral:rRNA from 1 species